rnacentral:rRNA from 1 species
UACGUAGGGGGCAAGCGUUGUCCGGAUUUAUUGGGCGUAAAGAGCGUGUAGGCGGCCAAGCAGGUCCGCUGUGAAAACUCGAGGCUCAACCUCGAGACGUCGGUGGAAACCGUUUGGCUAGAGUCCGGAAGAGGAGAGUGGAAUUCCCCGGUGUAGCGGUGAAAUGCGCAGAUAUCGGGAAGAACACCCGUGGCGAAGGCGGCUCUCUGGGACGGUACUGACGCUGAG